CCUACGGGAGGCAGCAGUGAGGAAUCUUGGUCAAUGGCCGGAAGGCUGAACCAGCCAAGCCGCGUGAAGGACGAAGGUGCCAAGCAUUGUAAACUUCUUUUGUCAAGGGACAAAAUCAGGCUCGAGAGCCUGACCGAGGGUACUUGAAGCAAAAGCAUCGGCUAACUCCGUGCCAGCAGCCGCGGUAAUACAGAGGAUGCGAGCGUUAUCCGGAUUUAUUGGGUUUAAAGGGUGCGUAGGGGGACUGUUAAGUCAGCGGGAAAAGCCCGGGGCUCAACCCCGGCGAGCCGUGGAAACUGGCUGUCUUGAGAUGUCGAGAGGUAUGCGGAAUGCGCAGUGUAGCGGUGAAAUGCUUAGAUAUUGCGCAGAACUCCGAUGGCGAAGGCAGCAUACCGGCGGCGAUCUGACGCUGAGGCACGAAAGCGUGGGUAUCGAACAGGAUUAGAUACUCGGGUAGUC
rnacentral:rRNA from 1 species